rnacentral:rRNA from 1 species
AAGCGUGCGCAGGCGGUUAUAUAAGACAGAUGUGAAAUCCCCGGGCUCAACCUGGGAACUGCAUUUGUGACUGUAUAGCUGGAGUGCGGCAGAGGGGGAUGGAAUUCCGCGUGUAGCAGUGAAAUGCGUAGAUAUGCGGAGGAACACCGAUGGCGAAGGCAAUCCCCCUGGGCCUGCACUGACGCUCAUGCACGAAAGCGUGGGGAGCAAACAGGAUUAGAUACCCGAGU